rnacentral:pre_miRNA from 1 species
UUAGGUUUUCUACAUUUGCUUAUGGAAUAUUUCUGGGAUUCUUGUUAUUGAAGAUCGAUACAGAUGAUAUGAAGAUGAAAAAGAGGAGAAG